rnacentral:piRNA from 1 species
UGAUCUCUUUGUGCCCCUCUAACACAGGGA